AACAAAAACAUGUCUUUUAGAAUUAUAUUUAAAGUUUGACCUGCCCCCUGAAAUUAUUAAAUGGCCGCAGUAUACUGACUGUGCAAAGGUAGCAUAAUCAUUAGUUUUUUAAUUGGAAACUAGAAUGAAUGGUUGGACGAAAUAAUAACUGUUUUAACAUAAAUUUUUAUAAAAUUUUAUUUUUUAGUAAAAAAGCUAAAAUUUUAUUAAAAGACGAGAAGACCCUAUAAAUCUUUAUUAUAUUUUUAUAUAAGUAUUAAUAGAUGCUUUAAUUAUAUAUAAUUUAUGUAAUUUUAUUGGGGUGAUAUUAAAAUUAACAUAACUUUUAAUUAUUUAUAUACAUUAAUUUAUGAAUUAUUGAUCCAUUAAUAAUGAUUAUAAGAAUAAGUUACUUUAGGGAUAACAGCGUAAUUUUUUUGUAGAGUUCAUAUCGAUAAAAAAGAUUGCGACCUCGAUGUUGGAUUAAGAUUAAAUUUAGGUGUAGAAGUUUAAAUUUUAAGUCUGUUCGACUUUUAAAAUCUUACAUGAUC
rnacentral:rRNA from 1 species